rnacentral:rRNA from 1 species
CGGCGUACGGGUGCGGAAACACGUGUGCAACUCGCUCUAUCUGGGGGAUAGCUUUCGAAAGGAAGAUUAAUACCCCAUAAUAUGUNUGAAUGGCAUCAUUCGACAUUGAAAACUUCCGGUGGAUCAGAGAUGGGCACGCGCAAGAUUAGAUAGUUGGUGAGGUAACGGUCACCAAGUCUACGAUCUUUAGGGGGCCUGAGANGGUGAUCCCCCAAAUUGGUACUGAGACACUGGGCCAGACUCCUACGGGAGGCAGCAGUGAGGAAUCAUCUUGGACAAUUGGGUCGAGAGCCUGAUCCAGCCAUCCCGCGUCGAAGUGACGACUGGCCUAUGGGUUUGUAAACUUCUUCUUUGUCAUCAGGGAUAAAACUUACCUCGUGAGGGUAGCUGAAGGUCACUAUACGAAUAAGGCACCUGGGUUUAAACUCCUGUUGCCCAAGGCAGCCNGCUGGGUAACAUCACCGGGAGUGGGUUGCAAAGGCUGGUUAUACCCGGGGUAAACUUCUGGGGUUAUUCAAAAGGGGGUCCCAGAAAGGCGGGAUUCCUUGUCAAUGGUCCAAGUCGGUUGGAAAAUCUUCGAAACAGUGAGUUUAAACAUUU